UAGUGAGUUUGAUCCUGGCUCAGGACGAACGCUGGCGGCGUGCUUAACGACGAUGCAAGUCGAGCGGAAAGGCCACUUCGGUGGUACUCGAGCGGCGAACGGGUGAGUAACACGUGAGUAAUCUGCCCCUGGCUUUGGGAUAGCCACCGGAAACGGUGAUUAAUACCGGAUAUGACCACUUCGCGCAUGUGAUGGUGGUGGAAAGUUUUUUCGGCCAGGGAUGUGCUCGCGGCCUAUCAGCUUGAUGGUGAGGUAAUGGCUCACC
rnacentral:rRNA from 1 species